rnacentral:lncRNA from 10 species
UUUUUUUUCCCUUUCAACACAAAAUAUGCUUGGGUGGAAAUUCUUUUCUCUGAAUCUUCUGCUCAGCCUGAAAACUUGAUUUUGAUAGAAGAGGAAGAAUUUUGCCUGGUUUUCUUGGCUUGAUUGAUUUGGUGAGCUGAAAGAAAGACACUGCUUCAUCAGAAUUCAAACAACAGAAAACAUCUCCCAGGCCCCCUAGAAGAUGCCAAUCAAAAUAAACUGCAUUCUUGAGACACAGGGCAAGAAAUUAAAGCUAUCCACCUCCUCAAGGCCCAGGGACUACGUGGAAGAGACAUCGAGUCAUGAAUAUGGAAUGACUUCACCUGACUUCACUUGAAAUUCACUUAAUUUUCAACUCUGUUGGCUAUGAGAAAAGGACAUCCAGGCCUCACACAAAAAUGGAUCAAUGAAUUGAAACUCACCAAAUCACCACCACCAGACAACGGGAUGCUGAGUCUCAUUCAUCAUGAUUGCUUCCUGAAGCCUUCUGAGUUCCUGUUUCCCUACACAUUGUUACAUUUCUUCCCUGCAACAUAAACCCCCAAUUUUAGUCCAUCAAGGUUAUAGAUUUGAGACUGAUCUCCCAUUUCCUUGGCUGCAACACCCAAUUAUAGCCUUCUUGGCAAUAAUUGUUGUCUCAGUGAUUGGCUUUCUUUGUGGCCAGCAGCAGGACCUAGACUGAACACCUGAUUUUCUGGUAACAGUAUAAUUUUUCUUCUUUUGUCUAUUGUGGUAGGUUACAUUGUUUGAUUUUUAAAUUAAACUGGCACUGCAUAGCUAGAGUAAAUGUGACUUUGUUGUGUUAAUUUUUAUAUGUUGUUGAAUUUGAUUUUCUUGUGUUAUGUUGAGAAUUUUACAUAUAUCUUUAUAAGAGAUAUUUGCUCGUAAUUAUCUUUUUGUAAAAUAUCUCUGUUUUUGCUAUGAAGGUUAUAAAAGUAAUUUUGGGAGUGCUCCCUAUUUUCUAUUAGAGAAUGAGGGAACUGGUACCAAUACUACCUUAAAUGUUCAAUAGAAUUCACAUUCGAAAUUAUCUAGGACUGGUUAUCUUUUGAGAAAAGUUGUUAAACAUUAUUCAGUGUCUUUAAUAGAUAUAGGCCUGUUCAGUUUAUCUAUUUCUCCCCAUGUGAUCAAUGGAAAUUUGUGUCUUUCACGUGAUUUUUCUAUUUCUUCUAAGUCAUCAACUUGUUGAUAUAAAGUUAUUCACAAUAUUCUUAUCCCUUCAAUGUUCAAAGAUUGUUAUUAAUAUUCAUGAAACUGGUAGUACUGAUCUUGCUUUCUUUUUUGAUAUUGUAUUGCACAUCUUUUCUCUUUUCAUGUUCAUUAAUUUGUGUGGAGGUUUAUCAAUUGUAUUCAUUUUAUUAAAGGACAAGUUUCUGGUUUUAUUAA